rnacentral:tRNA from 1 species
GGGGUUGCAGCUCAGUGGUAGAGCACUUGCCUAGCAUGUGUGAGGUACUGGGUUCAAACCCCAGCACCA